rnacentral:lncRNA from 1 species
AGUUCUGCGCGUUCACGUCCCCGAUCGGGCCGUGUCCGCCGCGGCCCUGCGAGGUCCGAGGGGCAAUAGCCCUCUGGAACAAGACAAUUCAUGUGAGAUAAGAAAGAAGAGCCCACAAGACCAAGGAUGUAUUCUCAGUUUACAGACCACUGACCAGAGGCCACUCCAGGGUGUCAGGACUAAGAGAAGUCACAAAACAGCAGAUUUCCCAAGAGCAGCGGAAAAUGAUCCAGUCACAGGUUGCGACCUUUCCUUCCCCAGCAAUAAACUGGUCUCUGGAGAUCACUGUAGAAUUGUAGUGGAUGAAAAAUCAGGUCAGGUGACACUGGAAGAUACCAGCACCAGUGGAACAGUGAUUAACAAGCUGAAGGUUGUUAAGAAGCAGACAUGCCCUUUACAGACUGGGGAUGUCAUCUACUUGGUGUACAGGAAGAAUGAACCGGAACACAACGUGGCAUACCUCUAUGAAUCUUUAAGUGAAAAGCAAGGCAUGACACAAGAAUCCUUUGAUACCUCAGGUGCAGGUGCAGGGCGAGGGGCCGAUCCCCGGGUCCCUCCGUCGUCGCCCGCCACUCAGGUGUGCU